GCAUAAACUGUGAUGGAGAAAGAAAUAUUUAAUCUAUUAACUUAAGAGAGCCAACGUUUGGUGCAAGUUGGUGUUAAUGAAAAUAUGCAAAUCACUCCGGAGUUUCCAAGUAGAAAGGCUUUUGCCAAGUAAACGAGGACGUAUACCAGCGAUAUAUGGUUAGGGUUUAUUUUAAAUAAAGUUUUUUAUUUAAAGUUGACCUGAAUUGAGAGGCAAUUGGUGUAUCUAAUUGCAAGUAAGGUGGUACCACGGAAAUAUAUCUUUCGUCCUUAUA
rnacentral:ncRNA from 1 species